rnacentral:rRNA from 1 species
UUUGGAGAAGUUUGAUCCUGGCUCAGGAUGAACGCUGGCGGCGUGCCUAAUACAUGCAAGUCGAGCGAAUGGAUUAAGAGCUUGCUCUUAUGAAGUUAGCGGCGGACGGGUGAGUAACACGUGGGUAACCUGCCCAUAAGACUGGGAUAACUCCGGGAAACCGGGGCUAAUACCGGAUAACAUUUUGAACCGCAUGGUUCGAAAUUGAAAGGCGGCUUCGGCUGUCACUUAUGGAUGGACCCGCGUCGCAUUAGCUAGUUGGUGAGGUAACGGCUCACCAAGGCAACGAUGCGUAGCCGACCUGAGAGGGUGAUCGGCCACACUGGGACUGAGACACGGCCCAGACUCCUACGGGAGGCAGCAGUAGGGAAUCUUCCGCAAUGGACGAAAGUCUGACGGAGCAACGCCGCGUGAGUGAUGAAGGCUUUCGGGUCGUAAAACUCUGUUGUUAGGGAAGAACAAGUGCUAGUUGAAUAAGCUGGCACCUCGACG